GUGUUCGUGAAAAAGAGAGAUGGUUGGCAUCUCCCUGACAGGGACGGGAAUAGCCUAAGGCUUUGUUGUUAACACAUCCUGUUAAUGCUAACUAUCCCUCGAAGGUGGAUCUCUAUAACCCAAUUUU